GAUGAAGAACGUAGCGAAAUGCGAUAAGUAAUGUGAAUUGCAGAAUUCAGUGAAUCAUCGAAUCUUUGAACGCACAUUGCGCCCGCCAGUAUUCUGGCGGGCAUGCCUGUUCGAGCGUCAUUACAACCCUCAGGCCCCCGAGCCUGGCGUUGGGGAUCGGCGGAGCCCCCCGUGGGCACACGCCGUCCCCCAAAUACAGUGGCGGUCCCGCCGCAGCUUCCAUCGCGUAGUAGCUAACACCUCGCGACUGGAGAGCGGCGCGGCCACGCCGUAAAACACCCAACUCUUCUGAAGUUGACCUCGAAUCAGGUAGGAAUACCCGCUGAACUUAAGCAUAUCAAUAAGCGGAGGA
rnacentral:misc_RNA from 1 species